CGGGACGGGGUGGAGUAAUGUCUGGGAAACUGCCUGAUGGAGGGGGAUAACUACUGGAAACGGUAGCUAAUACCGCAUAACGUCGCAAGACCAAAGAGGGGGACCUUAGGGCCUCUUGCCAUCGGAUGUGCCCAGAUGGGAUUAGCUAGUAGGUGGGGUAAAGGCUCACCUAGGCGACGAUCCCUAGCUGGUCUGAGAGGAUGACCAGCCACACUGGAACUGAGACACGGUCCAG
rnacentral:rRNA from 1 species